AAGGCACCAAACCAUUGAGGAGGGAUUUGUCCUCAUUACCCAAACACUUCCCACCGGGCCUCACCUUGAACGCUGGAGAUCAAAUUUUAACAUGGUAUUUGGUGGGGACAAACCCUAUCAGCAGCUGCUUUUAAUAUUUAAAAAAAUAUUUUGAGAGAGGGCCCACAGACCCUCUGAAAGAAGCAGACUGCUCCUGCAGGACCCGGGGGACACCCCAAAUACUGUGAGUGCCCCAACUGCGGAAGUGGGAAAGGGAGACCCUCCUUUCCGGAACACACACCCCCUACUGGAGAAGCUGAAGGUCUGCUUCCGGGAGAUGCUCCCGACUUCACCUGGAGCUGAGUCAAGUUAGAGAACCGGACCAAGCGAAAUACAGGGGCAGAGGAGGCAGCAGGGAGGCCCUGGGAGCUCUUUGAAUCCCCAGGUAGCCUAUUCCUGCCUGGCACCACUGGGAUUCAUCAGGAGGGAGGCCAGAGGAGCAGGAGGUGGGAGGCGGAAAGCCUCGGGCAAGUUUUCAAGCCCGUCCUCUGUCUGGAAACAGACUCAGAGGUGUUGCAGGGGACACGGUGGGAGUGAGACCAGCCCUUCGGUGUGCGUGGGAUCUGGGGGAGGCCUGUGACUGCCGGCUUUCCCCUGCUUCUCUGACAACCUGCAUGACUCAGCAGAGGCAGCCAUAAUCCUGGAGAGCCCCGGUUUAAGAUCUCCAGUCAGAACCUUCAGGAAGGGGAGAGUGGCUCAUGGGCUGAGUGGAUAAACCACAAAAUGGGUAAUAUACUAUAGGAGGCAGAGUUUGAGAUCGACGUCCCCCUGCACCUGGGGCGCCUCCUGAUGGUGAAGCUGCGCAAACACAACGUGCUGUUGAGUCUCGACUGGUUCUGCAAGUGGAUCUCAGUGCAGGGCCCGGGGACCCAAGGCGAGGCCUUUUUCCCCUGCUACCGCUGGGUGCAGGGCCACGGAAUUAUCUGCCUGCCUGAGGGUGGGGCUCCUGGAAAGAUGGGUUAAUCCUGCCUAUAGCAGGGAAUAGGCAACCGGACCUUCCUAGGGACGAGCGAUUCCUCGAGGAUAAGGAUUUAGACUUUAAUGUCUCCCUAGCAAAAGGGUUGAAGGACUUGGCCAUUAAGGGGACACUGGAUUUCAUAAAUUGUGUGAAAAGGCUGGAAGAUUUCAAAAAAAUAUUCCCACAUGGAAAGACUGUCCUGGCUGAGCGGGUUUAUGAUUCUUGGAAGAAUGAUGCCUUCUUUGGGUACCAGUUUCUCAAUGGUGCAAACCCCAUGCUCCUGAGGUGUUCUUCAAGGCUCCCAGCCUGCCUGGUGCUGCCUCCAGGGAUGGAAGACUUGAAGACCCAGCUGGAGAAAGAACUCCAGGCUGGAUCUCUGUUUGAAGUGGAUUUCUCCUUGCUGGAUGGAGUCAAGCCUAAUGUCAUCAUUUUUAAGCAGCAAUGCGUGGCAGCCCCUUUGGUCAUGCUGAAGCUUCAGCCUGAUGGAGGACUCUUACCCAUGGUCAUCCAGCUCCAGCCACCUUGACACGGAUGUCCCCCACCUCUGCUCUUUCUGCCCUCGCAUCCCCCCAUGGCCUGGCUCCUGGCCAAGACCUGGGUCCGGAGCUCUGAUUUCCAGCUGCAGCAGUUACAGUCACAUCUGCUGAGGGGACACUUGAUUGCUGAGGUUAUUGCUGUGGCUACAAUGAGAAGCUUGCCUAGCCUCCAUCCUAUCUACAAGGUGGUGAGCACUGGUAGUGGAAGCCACGUGGACAUUCUUCAGAGAGCCAUGGCUUGUUUGACCUAUCAUUCCCUCUGUCCUCCUGAUGACCUGGCUGACCGUGGGCUCCUGGAUGUGAAAUCUUCUUUUUAUGGCUAAGAUGCCAUCAGGCUGUGGGGAAUCAUCAGCCGGGAAUAGGUACGUGGAGGGGAUGGUUGGGCUUUUCUACAAUAGUGACCAAGCCAUGAAGGAUGAUCUAGAGCUGCAGGCCUGGUGCAGAGAGAUGACUGAGACUGGACUGCAGAGGGCCCAAGACCAGGGGUUCCUCAUCUCCUUAGAGUCCCGGGCUCAGCUCUGCCACUUUGUCACCAUGUGCAUCUUCACAUGCACAGGUCAGCAUGCUUCUAACCACCUGGGCCAGCUGGACUGGUACUCCUGGAUCCCUAAUGGCCCAUGCACCAUGCAGAAGCCCCCGCCCAUCUCUAAGGAUGUGACAGAGAAGGAUAUAGUGGACUUACUGCCCAAUCUCCACCAGGCACGUAUGCAAAAGACCUUCACAAAGUUCCUUGGCAGACGCCAGCCUGUCAUGCAUGAGGAGAAAUAUUUCUCUGGUCCUGAGCCCCAAGCUGUGCUGAGACAAUUCCAGGAGGAACUGGCUUCCAUGGACAAGGAGAUUGAGGUCCGGAAUGCAGUCCUGGACCUGCCCUGUGAGUACCUUUGACCCAGCAUGGUAGAGAACAGCGUGACCAUCUGAGAGGCCUUGCCCGCCUCAGCUCCAAAGCUCCACCAUCCCUGAGUGCCUUUGAGUAUUCCGUCCUCCUCACAUCCUCUGGUGAACAAAUUGUCCCCAAAGCUUUGUGGUCAGGGUAUCCAGAGCUGCUCACCACACAACUAUGGGGAAUACACAGUGAUGGUCCCCAUUGCAUUUGGAAGUGGCAUCCCCCAAAGCUGCCCUACCUUAAAUGUCCAUCCAGUCCUGCACUUCCUCACCCCGAUCCCUGCACACCUCCUCAUUGCCAAAGGACCUGGCUUAGAUACAAGUAAAAAUAUAUGAUUAAAUAACAAAACGGA